UAUACAACUAACAAGCAAGACUAACAUUACUAAUCAUAACACAAUCACAAAUAUUUAAAUUAAAAUAAACAUUAUUUCACAAUAAAAUUGGCAAUUCUGUAUAUAAAGAAAAAGACAUCAAAUCUAAUAAGUAAUUAGGACAUCUUGAAGUCCUGAAAACUGAUGGAGAGAAUCAACUAGCUGACUUCUUUACAAAGCCUCUCUUUAAGCUCAGAUUUAUACAAUUUUGCAAACAAGCUGGAUUAAAAGAGGAGACUGGAUUUUAAGAAGAGGUUUUUGUCUAAUGGCAAUAGAGCUCUUCUUUAUCUACGUGUUAUCUAACAGCUUGUUAUUUUUAAGGUUUUGUUAAAACAAAUUAUUUUACUACAAAUAUAUGUAUUAAUAUUCUAUUUUAAAUUCGCGUUACAUUUCCUGUUCCCUUUAAUUUCUUAAAGAUGAACAGUACCAUGGACAUAACAAAGUAUACUGUUUUGACCAUAAUACCCUCAAUGCGUUGCCAUUCCUGCGGACUAAGGUGUAAUACCUUUGUACUCUAUAUAUUCACCAUCCGUUUCCUAUCCUUCAAACCGAAACAGCUAUGCAAACAUAACUGCUUCACGGUAGAAACGAAAACACGAAACUUGGCAAAAUAUGAUAAAAAUCGAUACAAUGGAGGUGAUUUUGAAAUGUCAUUUCUCUAAAUUUAUCUAUAAACCUAAUAUUAUAAUGUGAUAAUUUUGCGUAAUUAUUUUUUUAAUCAUGAUUCAUUAUAAAGUAUAUAAAAAUAUAAUAAUUUUGACUUAAAUAUUUUAGAAUUUAAUUUCAAUCAUUUUGUAAUGGAGAUUUCACUGUGAUAUCACAUUGAAAUUUUAAUUUUAGAAAUAAGUUUACAGAAAUAGCGUCUUCUAGUGAAUAUGUUAAAGUUGUUAUAGGUAGGUAUCGAUUUGGACGAGUAAUUUUGUAAUAUGUAGUAAUUUGAUAUUUGGGUAAAAAUAAAAAAUAUCACCUGGCAACCCUAAACACUACUGUCACUGUCAUUCAUUAUAUAGGUAUUAUUAGUGUCAAUUUAUUCGAUUUGAAAUUGUUCUAUGACGUUGACUGUCCAGUCUUUCGUAACUUCUAUAUUAGUUUUAAAUGUAUGGAUUUGGUCAGAAAAUAUUAUGCCAACCUUAAGUUAAAUAAUGAAAUCACAAUAGUGCCAACUUAACUAACAAAAAUACUGUCAAAUGCGAUACAAAUGGCUGCCAUCCAAACUAUUCGUGUAACAGUUUUAGCUUUGUAUUUCAUAUUUCUUUUUAUUUUGACGUAAAAAUUACGACUCUAUAUAAUUAAUACUGACACAAUUACAAAGACUGCUCUCGAAAUAGUGUUGAAUACAUGUGUUAACUAUCAAUAAUAUUACGAAAUUGAGAGGUAAUAUUGUAUAAAAUAAUAAAUAUAUUUAAGAAUAUUA